rnacentral:tRNA from 1 species
GCGUCGUUAGCGCAGUAGGCAGCGCGUCAGUCUCAUAAUCGAUGUAGAAAUCUGAAGGUGUGAGUUCGAUCCUCACACGGGGAA